GUGCUCACUUCAGCAGUACAUAUACUGAAAACUGGAACAUACAGGGAAAAUUACCAUGGCCUACACUCAAAUCCGUGAAGUGUUCCAUAUUUUU
ensembl:snRNA U6 U6 spliceosomal RNA